GGAUUUUGUUGCAUUUUUGGAGGUACUUUUAUUCGAUUUUGCCCGUGGUUACUGCAGACAUCCAUUGUUUGUAAAAAUACAGGAAGCUGUUUCCCCGUGGAGCUCCAGCAGUGCUAGAGGGCUAAAGAAAACUUCCCCUGACAUCUUACCUGCAAGGUGGUGAAUGCAGAGUUCAAUAGGGUAGUCACCAAGAACCUACAGGUGGACUUUUUUGAUGAAAGGCUUCGUCUGUCUUUAUUUCUCAUGAAUCCAGAUGUGACGGCAGUGCGUACCAUUGUACUCCGGGGCCUCCCUGUUCUGCUUGGUGAUGAUCCCAGUGACUUCUACAACACCUGCUUUAAGCAAUGCCACAGCACACCCUAAAAAUAGAGUGUUCCCUCAACUCAGGAGGAUUCCAUGAUGCUCUGCAACAUUCCUGGUGUGAACCAUCUGCAGAGGUGGCAGGCAUGGGCAAGGGAUCAAAACGCUCACAUUACCAACAACAGGAGAACUUUCUGGUGACUUGGCGGAUGACCUUGAGGACAUUCACUUUGGGAUACCAUCUUAAAUAAGUUUAUUCCAAAAAAUGUAAACUGUCCAUUGUUCUUAAAAACAAUGGACUAACAUAAAAAUUGAUUAAACCAGAUCAAAAAGCCCAGUGAUCCUUAAUCUUUUAAAAUUGCUACUCAAAUAUCAUUGAAUUGUUUUUAAGGUACCAACAAGGGAUCUUUCAUGGUCUUUGCAUCAAGAACCAUUUUCUGGUACUAUAUACAACCCUUAGUUGCUAAAAGUGUAACACAUAUGAGAGCUAACUGCUGCCAACCCCACCCCACCCCCCUUCAGCAAAACGUAAGUCAGUAUUUACUGUAUGUUAAAUGUGUCAUUAUUCCUAUGCUAACCUGGCAUGCUAACAAUCCUGCAAAAGUUCCACAAACUGCAUGAUUAGUCAAGCCUAGAGGUUAUGAAUUUAAUGGAUUAAUUUCCAUUGUAAUCUUGUAAUCUCUUAAUGUUUUAAUGUAAUAUUUUGGAUACUGCUGCAAGACAAAGUGGCUAAGGAGUUCACCCUCAUCUCCACAGGGUGUCUGAAAAUUCCAUCAAGUGAAAUUUCAGACAUUUUAAAACUUUUUAAUGCAGGUUACAAUGACAUUUGUGACCACAUGGCAACCAAAAUAAACAUCAAAAUGACAACAAUUAUUGAUCUGGUUUGAACUGUAAAUUUUGUAAUUUACAUUUUUUUUAAUUUUAUUUUUCCAGAUCAUAAUACUGUGUGUUAUUUAUUUAUUCAUGCAAAGCACCUUA